rnacentral:lncRNA from 1 species
GUUGAACAGGAGCUGUGCACUGCUUGGAUUCAGAGGAGAUGGGGGAGGGGUAGACACAGGGAGGGAAUCAAAGUAUAAAAAAAAACGAGAAAUAUAUUGGUGGUUAGAAGGAAGAGAAAAGGAACCAGCACCAGUGGUUACUGUAAAUUAUUCUGGGAUCAUUUUCUUCCUGAUACACUAUCAGCACUGGCUGUUGGACCUCUGCCAUACCUAUAAGUAUGCGGGAGACGGUGGCUGUUUUUCCAGCUCGGUGCUGUCCUCGGAUGAACUGUGUACCGCUGCCAAGAAUUCAGCACAGUUUAUAGAAGGUAACUGGGGAAGAAGCCAACAUUGUAUUUCAGAAAAAUUGAAAAAAUCCUGAAGUAAAAGAGAGACAAUAAAGCCUACGUUAUACUGAAUGGCUUCUGUUGAAGAAAAGUUAAAUCUUAUCCAGAAGAUAUUAACAAUUCAAACUGUACAAAAAACUUUAAGAAGAAAGAAAUGUUGCAUCCCUGAAUAUGACUGAUCUUCAUAAAGGAAAGUCAACACUGUCUGAAACCGUUUGUCCUGGUGAACCAGAGCCUAACCCAGCAACACAGGGAGUAGGGCUCAGGACACACCCAGGAUGGGAUUCCAGUCUGUCGCAAGACAACCCAAACAGGACUCAAACCCCAGACCCACCAGAGAGUGGGACCUGGCCAAACCUGCUGCAUCACUACACAGCCCCCGUAUGUUAUGCAUACUUGACUAAACAUUUGAUAUCAAAUGGAAACAUACUAUAUUUGUGAACUGUACAUGCAAUUCAGCUAUGUAAAAUAUGUACUGUAAAGUUUAGUGUGUGAGUGACACAGAGAGAGUGUGUUCCACUAAUGUAUGGAUGAGUGAUCCAGUGUAAGUUGUGCAUCUAGCAGUGUAAGUCACCUUGGUGAAUAAGGUGUGUGGGCUAGUAACACUAGAUAGUAUCCAUUGUAAGUCGCUUUGGAGAAAAGCAUCUGCUAAGUGAAUGAAUGUAAAUAAAUGUAAAUGUAAAAAAGAAAGUAUUUGUCUC